rnacentral:rRNA from 1 species
CCCUUAGAGUUUGAUCCUGGCUCAGGAUGAACGCUGGCGGCGUGCCUAACACAUGCAAGUCGAGCGAAGCACUUUGCUUAGAUUCUUCGGAUGAAGAGGAUUGUGACUGAGCGGCGGACGGGUGAGUAACGCGUGGGUAACCUGCCUCAUACAGGGGGAUAACAGUUAGAAAUGACUGCUAAUACCGCAUAAGACCACAGCACCGCAUGGUGCGGGGGUAAAAACUCCGGUGGUAUGAGAUGGACCCGCGUCUGAUUAGCUAGUUGGUAAGGUAACGGCUUACCAAGGCGACGAUCAGUAGCCGACCUGAGAGGGUGACCGGCCACAUUGGGACUGAGACACGGCCCAAACUCCUACGGGAGGCAGCAGUGGGGAAUAUUGCACAAUGGGGGAAACCCUGAUGCAGCGACGCCGCGUGAGCGAAGAAGUAUUUCGGUAUGUAAAGCUCUAUCAGCAGGGAAGAAAAUG